rnacentral:rRNA from 2 species
GUACGUACAAGCAGUGGGAGCACAGGUUUACCUGUGUGACUGCGUACCUUUUGUAUAAUGGGUCAGCGACUUAUAUUCUGUAGCAAGGUUAACCGUAUAGGGGAGCCGGAGGGAAACCGAGUCUUAACCGGGCGUUAAGUUGCAGGGUAUAGACCCGAAACCCGGUGAUCUAGCCAUGGGCAGGUUGAAGGUUGGGUAACACUAACUGGAGGACCGAACCGACUAAUGUUGAAAAAUUAGCGGAUGACCUGUGGCU